UUGUAAUAAAAGUGAUGGUAAAAUAAC
rnacentral:sRNA from 1 species